rnacentral:misc_RNA from 1 species
UAGAGGAAGGAGAAGUUGUAACAAGGUUUCCGUAGGUGAACCUGCGGAAGGAUCAUUGUCGUUKCCUCGACCGACUGGGGAACCGAUAUCAGUUUGACCUGYUUCUGCCCCCGAUGUGCCUYGSGGKGCUGUCGGGUGGCAGACCUCUCUUAACACAGCAACUCCCGGGGCCCAGCGCUCCAAGGAAAUGUAGUCAAUUGGGAUGGAMGCCGUGGACGACCCCGAUGGGGCGCGCCCGCURUACGACCRRACCGGAYAUCACACGUACGUACGUACGACUCUCGACAACGGAUAUYUCGGCUCUUGCAUCGAUGAAGAACGUAGUGAAAUACGAUACUUGGUGUGAAUUGSRGAAUCCCGUGAACCAUCGAGUCUUUGAACGUAAGUUGCGCCMGAGGCCAUUGKGCCGAGGGCACGCCUGUCUGGGCAUCACGCCACCCAUCGCUUCCCCCCCCCCCUCCCACCUGGAGGGGGACGCGGAAACUGGCCCCCCAUCCCGGAAAAAAUCUCCGUGCUCGGUCGGCCCAUCUCCAGGAACCCUGCCCUGUUGGACGCAACAAAUGGUGGUUGGAGCAAAGCUCCAAACGCCACGCCUACCCAUACCGCAUUGCGUGAAACCAAAGGGGUACAAAUUGCAGGCCGCCGAUAAGCUUGACCGAAUCGGUUUUCAUCCUCCCAAACGACUACCCCCCUCGGUCAUGCGGGACCCCCC